rnacentral:rRNA from 1 species
ACACGUAGGAGGCGAACGUUAUCCGGAUUUACUGGGCGUAAAGCGCGUGUAGGUGGUUCUGUAAGUAGGGCGUGAAAGCUCCCGGCUCAACUGGGAGAGGCCGUUCUAAACUGUAGAACUAGAGGAUGGUAGAGGGAGGUGGAAUUCCAGGUGUAGCGGUGGAAUGCGCAGAUAUCUGGAGGAACACCAGUGGCGAAGGCGGCCUCCUGGACCAUUCCUGACACUCAGACGCGAAAGCUA